GCGAGAGAACCUUGGCAGAUCCCGGAGCCUGGCGCGGUGGGCCACCGACCGAGGGGCUCCCCAAAGAGCGGCCCCCACGGCCCAGUGAGGAGGGCUGCGGGCAGCCGGCUUACAUCUUUACUUUUUUCCCCCACUUGGAGUGAGAGCCCUUUUAUCUGAUGGAGGCUGUGUGAGGCAGUAGAAGGCGACUGGGCAUGAAGGCCAAGGAUCUGGUUCCAACCCUCCCUCUGCCGGCUACUACCCGUGUGGCCUUGGAGCCUCAGCAACUCAGACUUAAAAUGAGGAAGUGGUUGAGAUGGCCCCCAAGGGCCCUUCUAUGAUCUUCUCAUCCUGUUGUCAAAGAGAAAAAGUACUAAUCCUGUACUCUGCAUCUUAGGCCCAAGUCUGACCAUUUUAUUUUAUUUAACAUUAUUCUAAAUCCAAGCUCUUUCUAACUUAAAGAGAAAAAUGUCCAAACUGACAUAGGGCCUCCCAGACGCAUCCCUCUACCUAGGGACAGUCUUUCUGAGGUAACAUUGAUAGGAAUCUUGAACAUGAUCCGAAUAUGUCCAAAUACAAUUUGGGGUCAGCA